rnacentral:rRNA from 1 species
AUGGCGACGCACUCCCCCGUCGAGGUCAACCCAUCAAAUGUGGUCGCCAUCAGUGUCGAGAACUUGAAAAAAGCCCUUGACAAGAAGGAUCCAUUCGACCGUCUGACCAACCGGGACAAGGCUUUUAUCGACUGUGCCAAGAUCUUUACGGUCGUGUGUGCAGGUGGCAUUAAUAUGCUGAAUGUGUUCGCUACCACGAUGUCGUAUAACCACACUAUCAAAGAGUUCAAGAGGAUGAGGCCUGUGAUGCAGCAGGUGUUCCUAGCUCUCACAAUCGCCAUGCUACCAUACACUCUCUGCGUUGCCGGCUUUUCGCAUGCGGUGGUGUACAAAACAGCUUGGAUCAAUUGGCUUGCACUCUGUAUGUUGGUUGAGUUGUGUUACACAGGUGUGCUGUGCUUCUUGUGUGGCUACUUCUUGACGGACACUGAUUUGGGUACCGUAUUGGCUAUCUCGAUCUUAGUGACCGUGCUUCUCCUAUUCUUCUACUUCUGGCUCUUCCGGCGCCCCGAUCUCAAGCACUGUGGUCCGAAGGAGGUGGUCGCGGACGCGGAGGGGGGACAGUGA